GGGAGAGUGGCUUAGUGGAAAGAGCCCGGGUUUGGGAGUCAGAGGACGUGGGUUCUAAUCCCGACUCUUCCA
rnacentral:tRNA from 1 species